rnacentral:rRNA from 1 species
AUUGAACGCUGGCGGCAUGCCUUACACAUGCAAGUCGAACGGUAACGGGCCUUCGGGUGCCGACGAGUGGCGAACGGGUGAGUAACAUAUCGGAACGUACCUUUCAGUGGGGGAUAACGUAGCGAAAGUUACGCUAAUACCGCAUAUUCUGUGCGCGGGAAAGCAGGGGAUCGCAAGACCUUGCGCUGAUUGAGCGGCCGAUAUCAGAUUAGCUAGUUGGUGAGGUAAAGGCUCACCAAGGCGACGAUCUGUAGCGGGUCUGAGAGGAUGAUCCGCCACACUGGAACUGAGACACGGUCCAGACUCCUACGGGAGGCAGCAGUGGGGAAUUUUGGACAAUGGGGGCAACCCUGAUCCAGCCAUGCCGCGUGAGUGAAGAAGGCCUUCGGGUUGUAAAGCUCUUUCGGCCGGGAAGAAAUCGCACGGGCUAAUACCCUGUGUGGAUGACGGUACCGGAAUAAGAAGCACCGGCUAACUACGUGCCAGCCGCCGCGGUAACAC